CUCACCAAACAGAACUUCUUUUUCCUAAAAAGCCUUGGUAGAAAACAAUGAUAACCUUACCAUUUGAUAAGUCUGCUUAUGCCUAGCAUAUACUAUGCCUCUAUAUGAAGGCACAUAAAGAUGCUAGACACAUUGGCUCAUAUUCUCAUGUCUCUGGUCUCAAUUCUAGGAAUGUGCUGGAGAAUAGGAGCAGAAGAUGGCAACCAGGACACCAGAAACUUGAUGUUCCGCUUUGGGAGAACUCAUACGUGGCACCAUUCCUAUAAAAUGAGGAAAAUAGCUUUGAAGAUGAUGAUCUACUUCCAUCAUGAACAUUCUACCAAGCAGUGAAGCCUGCAGCAUGGCAGAACAGUAGCAGUGUUUUGUGCUUGUCAGAUAGAAAACCCAGCAUCCCAGAGAGAUGAAAGGACUCGUGUCUAUGGACUUCCCCCUAUGAAGUGUGGCCUACAGCUGGACUCUUUUCAUGCCGGAUAUUUAGCCCUGUUAUAUGACUGCUCUGUCACGCAUACACACACACACACGAGAGAGAGAAAGAGAGAAAAAAAAAAAUCUCACUGGUACCAUAUGAUGACCUGGUCCUAUAAAAUAUUAAUGCUGUCUGCUAGAAUUCUACUGUAAAGGAGCUAUAAAACAGUUUGAAGAGUUUGAGAAAUCAGACUCAAAUAUGAAAUAAGCAAAGUGCUAUCAGGCUACUAGAGACCUAUUUUUUUCCCUGUCUUAUUGAAAACAGGAUACACAGGACAAGGAGAAGAAGAUAAAGUCGAGAUUCUUAAUCUCUAUGUGCUUGGCAUCAAAAUGAUAUCAAAAUAGUAUCAAAACUCAGGCCUGGGAUGCUCCACAGCACUUUGACAGUACUGAAAUUUUAUAUCGCUACAACACCUGCAAUUUCUGAAGAUGCAUCCAGCUCUUCAAAUAAUUCUAUUGACUUUAAUAAAAAUCUAUGUAUCUUGUGACCUAACCAGUUGGUGCCUGAAAUUCUAGGAACAUGGAAAACAAAAAUAAGAUCAAGAAUUUUUUUUUAUUGUAAAAACUGGCUAACCAUAUACAGACGAAUGAAACUGGACCCCUGCCUCUCACUGUGUAUGUACAAAAAUUAACUCAAGUUGGAUUAAAGACUUAAACGUAAGACUGCAAAUUAAAAAAACACAAAGGAAAACCUAGGAAAUACUUUUAUGAUUAAGUCCCCAUGAGCAAUUGCAACAAAGAUGAAAACUGACAAUUGGGACCUAAUUAAACUAAAGAGUUUCUGCACAGCAAACAAAACCAUCAACAGAGUAAACAGCCUACAGAAUGGGAGAAAAUAUUUGUAAACUAUGCAUCUGACAAGGUCUAAUAUCCAGAAUCUAUAAGAAAUUUA
rnacentral:lncRNA from 1 species